AUGGAAACUACGUGGAAAGACAGAGACUUCAAUUGCUUGGCAUCACUUGUAUGCUCAUUGCUUCAAAAUAUGAGGAAAUAUGUGCGCCACGGAUUGAGGAGUUAUGCUUCAUCACGGAUAACACUUACACAAGAGAUCAGGUCCUGGAAAUGGAGAGCCAAGUACUCAAGCAUUUUAGCUUUCAAAUUUACACUCCCACUUCAAAGACAUUCCUUAGGAGAUUUCUUCGAGCAGCUCAAGCUUCAUACCCGAGCCCAAGUCUGGAAAUGG